rnacentral:lncRNA from 1 species
CAACGGUUGGAGCGGCGAAACAAAGCGGAUAUAAUAUGACGCGAAGAAAACAGACCAUGGCGAAUCAUUUUAUCUACAAAGAAAAUCUGACCAUGUUUAGGCUAGCAGAGAUCGCUUAGCUGCGUCUGAUUGCGGCCCCUUUGCGUGGUCACGCACGUCCGUGCACGUGCGUCAAAACCAUGAAGCAAUGGAGCGCCACUUGCCCCCGAGGAUCUGGGAGCUCUGGACACGGUUCAGACGGUGGAGCCGCGGAGGCAGACAGCGGUGGCAGCCGGAGGGGGAAGUUGCUGUGCACGGUCGUCCACCUAGGCGUUGGAGGACUCGCUUUGAGCGAGCCACUUCCCACGUUCUGGAAGUUGGCCCCCCCACCUCUGGCAUUGAGGACUCAGGCUCCACAGUGGAAGGGACCAGUGAGGACUUAGCGGUUGGGGAAACCAACGAGGCUCCUAGCAGCGGCAGCAGCAGCAGCACACCUGGUAGAGGUAGGGAGGACAGUGAUGAGGAGGGGGCUGCUCCCAAAAGACCAUGUUUUACUGUGAGACACUGUGUCACACAGUAA